UACAGAGGGUGCGAGCGUUGUCCGGAAUCACUGGGCGUAAAGGGCGCGUAGGCGGUCUGCUAAGCGUGUGGUGAAAGCUCGGGGCUCAACCCCGAGUCGGCCGUGCGAACUGGUGGACUCGAGCACGUCAGAGGCAGGCGGAAUUCCGGGUGUAGCGGUGGAAUGCGUAGAGAUCCGGAAGAACACCGGUGGCGAAGGCGGCCUGCUGGGACGUGGCUGACGCUGAGGCGCGACAGCGUGGGGAGCAAACAGG
rnacentral:rRNA from 1 species